GAUGAACGCUGGCGGCGUGCCUAAUACAUGCAAGUCGAACGCUGAAGGAGGAGCUUGCUCUUCUGGAUGAGUUGCGAACGGGUGAGUAACGCGUAGGUAACCUGCCUGGUAGCGGGGGAUGACUAUUGGAAACGAUAGCUAAUACCGCAUGACAACAGUUAUUGCAUGAUAACUGUUUAAAAGGGGCAACUGCUCCACUACCAGAUGGACCUGCGUUGUAUUAGCUAGUUGGUGAGGUAACGGCUCACCAAGGCGACGAUACAUAGCCGACCUGAGAGGGUGAUCGGCCACACUGGGACUGAGACACGGCCCAGACUCCUACGGGAGGCAGCAGUAGGGAAUCUUCGGCAAUGGACGGAAGUCUGACCGAGCAACGCCGCGUGAGUGAAGAAGGUUUUCGGAUCGUAAAGCUCUGUUGUAAGAGAAGAACGAGUGUGAGAGUGGAAAGUGCACACUGUGACGGUAUCUUACCAGAAAGGGACGGCUAACUACGG
rnacentral:rRNA from 1 species